rnacentral:rRNA from 1 species
UACAGAGGGGGCAAGCGUUGUUCGGAAUUACUGGGCGUAAAGGGCGCGUAGGUGGCCUUCUAAGUUGAACGUGAAAUCCCUGGGCUCAACCCAGGAACUGCGUCCAAGACUGGGAGGCUUGAAUCCGGGAGAGGGAUGCGGAAUUCCAGGUGUAGCGGUGAAAUGCGUAGAUAUCUGGAGGAAUACCGGUGGCGAAGGCGGCAUCCUGGACCGGAUUGACACGU